rnacentral:rRNA from 1 species
CGGUCCUAAGGUAGCGAAAUUCCUUGUCGGGUAAGUUCCGACCUGCACGAAUGGCGUAAUGAUGGCCAGGCUGUCUCCACCCGAGACUCAGUGAAAUUGAACUCGCUGUGAAGAUGCAGUGUACCCGCGGCAAGACGGAAAGACCCCGUGAACCUUUACUAUAGCUUGACACUGAACAUUGAGCCUUGAUGUGUAGGAUAGGUGGGAGGCUUUGAAGUGUGGACGCCAGUCUGCAUGGAGCCGACCUUGAAAUACCACCCUUUAAUGUUUGAUGUUCUAACGUUGACCCGUAAUCCGGGUUGCGGACAGUGUCUGGUGGGUAGUUUGACUGGGGCGGUCUCCUCCUAAAGAGUAACGGAGGAGCACGAAGGUUGGCUAAUCCUGGUCGGACAUCAGGAGGUUAGUGCAAUGGCAUAAGCCAGCUUGACUGCGAGCGUGACGGCGCGAGCAGGUGCGAAAGCAGGUCAUAGUGAUCCGGUGGUUCUGAAUGGAAGGGCCAUCGCUCAACGGAUAAAAGGUACUCCGGGGAUAACAGGCUGAUACCGCCCAAGAGUUCAUAUCGACGGCGGUGUUUGGCACCUCGAUGUCGGCUCAUCACAUCCUGGGGCUGAAGUAGGUCCCAAGGGUAUGGCUGUUCGCCAUUUAAAGUGGUACGCGAGCUGGGUUUAGAACGUCGUGAGACAGUUCGGUCCCUAUCUGCCGUGGGCGCUGGAGAACUGAGGGGGGCUGCUCCUAGUACGAGAGGACCGGAGUGGACGCAUCACUGGUGUUCGGGUUGUCAUGCCAAUGGCACUGCCCGGUAGCUAAAUGCGGAAGAGAUAAGUGCUGAAAGCAUCUAAGCACGAAACUUGCCCCGAGAUGAGUUCUCCCUGACUCCUUGAGAGUCCUGAAGGAACGUUGAAGACGACGACGUUGAUAGGCCGGGUGUGUAAGCGCAGCGAUGCGUUGAGCUAACCGGUACUAAUGAACCGUGAGGCUUAACCUU